UACGAAGGAUCCAAGCGUCAAUCGGAAUUACUGGGCGUAAAGCGUGCGCAGACGGUUGCGUAAGUCAGAUGUGAAAGCCCCGGGCUCAACCUGGGAAUUGCAUUUGAGACUGCGUAGCUAGGGUGCGGAAGAGGGAAGCGGAAUUUCCGGUGUAGCGGUGAAAUGCGUAGAUAUCGGAAGGAACACCAGCGGCGAAAGCGGCUUCCUGGUCCAGCACCGACGUUCAGGCACGAAAGCGUGGGGAGCAAACAGG
rnacentral:rRNA from 1 species